UGCGUCACGGUUUCCCUUACCAGCCGACUGCUUUGGCUUUUGACCCCGUGCAGAAGAUCCUGGCCAUCGGCUCCAGGACAGGCGGCGUGCGGAUACUGGGACGACCCGGAGUGGACUGCUACUGUCAGCAUGAGAGUGGAUCAGCUGUUCUUCAACUGCAGUUCCUCAUCAAUGAGGGGGCGCUGGUCACAGCCUGUGCAGAUGACACGCUUCACUUGUGGAAUCUCCGUCAGAGGCGACCGGCUGUCCUCCAUUCACUCAAAUUCAACAGA